rnacentral:rRNA from 1 species
UACGUAGGGGGCAAGCGUUAUCCGGAUUUACUGGGUGUAAAGGGGGCGCAGACGGCGAUGCAAGCCAGGAAUGAAAGCCCGGGGCCCAACCCCGGGACUGCUCUUGGAACUGCGUGGCUGGAGUGCGGGAGGGGCAGGCGGAAUUCCUGGUGUAGCGGUGAAAUGCGUAGAUAUCAGGAGGAACACCGGUGGCGAAGGCGGCCUGCUGGACUGCAACUGACGUUGAGGCCCGAAAGCGUGGGGAGCAAACAGG